UACGUAGGGUGCGAGCGUUGUCCGGAAUUAUUGGGCGUAAAGAGCUUGUAGGCGGUUUGUCGCGUCUGCUGUGAAAUCCGGGGCUCAACCCCGGACUUGCAGUGGGUACGGGCAGACUAGAGUGUGGUAGGGGCAACUGGAAUUCUCGGUGUAGCGGUGAAAUGCGUAGAUAUCGAGAGGAACACCUGCGGCGAAGGCGGGUUGCUGGGCUGACACUGACGCUGAGGCGCGAAAGCUAGGGUAGCAAACGGG
rnacentral:rRNA from 1 species